UGCGAUGCAUGGCACGGGAUGCGCGUGAGCGCCGGCGAGGCGCUCGGCUACGUGCCGGAGGGCGCGGCGACGUACGGCAUCGUCGCGCCGCAGC
rnacentral:tRNA from 1 species